UUCUACAAAAUAGGCUUAGGAUGGUAAUAAUCGAACGUUAUUAGUUUUUGGUUGAGCGUUAAAAAUAAUUCAAUUUACCAAUAUAUUCAUGUAAUUGGUACCAAUGUGAUGAAUAUAACGGUAGAGAGAAUUAAAAUAUUUGUAAAAGGAAAAAUUCCAGUGGUCGUCCCACAAAGAAUAAUGGUCGAAU